rnacentral:rRNA from 1 species
GUGGGGAAUCUUCCGCAAUGGACGAAAGUCUGACGGAGCGACGCCGCGUGAGUGAAGAAGGCCUUCGGGUCGUAAAGCUCUGUCAUCAGGGACGAACGGCCGGUGGAGUGGAAAGCCACCGGAUUGACGGUACCUGAGAAGGAAGCCACGGCUAACUACGUGCCAGCAGCCGCGGUAAUACGUAGGUGGCAAGCGUUGUCCGGAAUUAUUGGGCGUAAAGCGCGCGCAGGUGGGAUCUUAAGUCCAUUUUUAAAGUUCGGAGCUCAACUCCGUGAUGGGAUGGAAACUGGGAUUCUUGAGUACCGGAGAGGAAAGCGGAAUUCCCCGUGUAGCGGUGAAAUGCGUAGAUAUGGGGAGGAACACCAGUGGCGAAGGCGGCUUUCUGGACGGUGUCUGACACUGAGGUGCGAAAGCCAGGGGAGCGAACGGGAUUAGAAACCCGAGUAGUCC